AUUAAUAUUACCAGGGCCAGCCUUAGGCCUUAAGGCACCCUGUGUGAAAAAUCUUUACAUCGCCCCCCCCAUGUCAUUCAUGUAUAGUGUGUAUAGGAAUGUAGUGAUGGUAUAGGGGAUUUAUUAAAUUAAUAAUGAUUUAAAAACAAAUAUUCAUUCCUACUUUUCUGUUGUUACCUGGUUGGGAGAGGGGCAUGCUGAUCUGAAUCUCCUCUGUCCCCCAUUGUAAGUGUGUGUGUGUGUGUAAGAAUGUAUGUCUCACAAGCUCAGGGACUUGCAGUGUCCUGUGGUAAUCUGUGGUAGCGCUCUGAUUAUCCCGGGAUAGGAAGCUUC